GCAGUCACCGCGACGAGCAACAAGAUGGAGGUGGAGCCGCAGGCAGGCCAGUGUCUGCUGUCCAGCCCUGGGCUCUGGGUUGGGUACGUCCUGGAGAAGGGCCUCAUCGGAGUUUUCCUCUUCUUCCUCUUCGUGCGCAGGGAGGAGCCGUGAGCUCCUGGCUGCUUUGCCGCCUUGGCCGCUUGCAAGCUUGGAGGCAGCCUCUGCCCCAGAGGCAGGAUGGAGCACGACGGUGGAGCGGUGGUGGGCUCACCAGUUGCUCCAAGCACCCCGGGCGUCUGACGGGAUCGGGCAGGGGCUCCGGACCUGGCUGCAGCCCCCCCCAGCCCGCUCCCCCCAAGCUUUGCUCUGACCCAGUUCAGGGAGCCGGGUCCCUGCAAGUGCAACGCAGCCGCGUGUCAAUCCCCGACCACGCCGUGAAGUGCCGCGGGGCCGUGCGCAGUGCGCCCAAGCGUCCUGCAGCCCCUGAGCUGUCCUGGGAGGACUGGGCGCUCUGCAGAGGGAUGCUGUGUCACGGUCUCUGUUGGCUCCUGGCACUUCUGUUUGGAAAUAAACCCUGCUAGACAUGCUCGCACCUGCCCGUGUGCAGUCCUGGCCUG